GGUUGUAGUUCAGUGGUAGAGCACUUGCCUAGCAAGUGGGAGGCGCUGGGUUCAAUCCUCAGCACCA
rnacentral:tRNA from 1 species